rnacentral:lncRNA from 1 species
UCUUAUUUGGUGUCAAUUACUAGUUUACAUGUAUUGUAUGAUUGGAUGAUUGAGAUUAAGGAAAAAGGCAAAAAGGUUAUGUGAAUUGAUAAAUGGAAAAUGUGGACAGCCUGACUAGAUAUCCUGGGAGAUGGUGGACGGACCAGGUCAGUAGGGAACCCUUCCGGGAACGUGGUCUCUCAUACCGGACGGGGUAUGGAGACCUUAUGUG